rnacentral:rRNA from 1 species
UCUGGUAAUUAUGGCGAGAAGGUCACACCCGUUCCCAUCCCGAACACGGCAGUUAAGCUUCUCUGCGCCGAUGGUAGUGGAGGAUUUCCCUCCGCAAGAGUAGGACAUUGCCGGGC